rnacentral:tRNA from 1 species
UAUGAAGUGCCUGAAAAAAAGGGUAAUUUUGAUAGGGUUAAUCAUGUGUUUACACCUUCAUAAAAUUUUA